UGUGCACAAUUAUUAUUGUAAUGUUAGGCUAGCGUCGCCAAUAAAUUAAUAGUUAUUAUUUUGGAUCCGACUUUUAAUUAGUUCCGAUAGCUAGUGAAAAAUAGCCUCUGCUAUUUAGUAGGUGGUUUAGGUACAAGUAAUACUUAACCGCUACUUUAUAUUUAAGUAGUUUGAUUCAGAUACACUUGUAGUAUUUGAGUGUCACUCUCAAUGCCAGAGGGCUCGCGAGUGCGUUACCGGCCUAUUAUAAAUUGGUACGCUAUUUCCUUGAAGAACCCUAAGUCUAAUUGGUUCGGUAAUAGGUACUUCAAUGUGCAACUGGUCCCAAAUAGUGGCAGAGCGUGUCAAAAACUUAAAGUCUUAGAUAACGCUCAGUUGUAAAUCAGAGUCGAAUUUCGUAUUUUAAUUCUCUUCGAAUUAUUGCGAAACUGAACGUCAUUCGGUAUUUCAACGCCCAGUAUGCCGAUGCUGGCUGCGGCUCUAAGAAGAGUGCUUUAGAAAUAAGGAGUAGUGAUCGACUACAUCGGAAUUCGGAGUAGGUACUAAGUAGUGAUUGCGUCUUUAUUAAAUGAACAUUGUGCAACAACCCGUUCUGCCUCCUGGUGUUGGGACCGAAUUCUGAAACCAAGACCAGCCUUGUGAUUUUGUAACCUACUUUUCAGUCUCAUCGCGGAUUCCGCUCUCCAAUCACUUCUUCACGAUUUGUCAUUCUGAUGAACGCGACAAAAGCGCCGCCCGUGUGAGAUUGUUAUUUUUAGAAUAAAAAUUCGACACCCAUAUCGCUCACGCCCAGAAAUAAAGGCCCAUUUCCAAUUUAAACCACUAUUUCAAGAAAUGAACGAUGAGCCUAAAGCCACCUAAAAAAUAUAUAAAGAUGGCAAUGAGGCACGAUACAGCCAUUUGGUUGUACAUCCCCUUUUUUCGAAUGCUCAAGAAAUUAAUCGGUAUUGACGAAACCUUGAAUGUUUGCUGCUAUAUACUAAUCUCUAAUAGAUUAACGAACUAAGUUCGACCGCAGAUCAUAAGGUCGUAGCUCUAAGCUGCGGUUAGGUAAGGAAUAUAACCAAAUCAUACGAAGCUGACAGUAAUUGGACCCGAUGGAUCCUGAUAGAUAUGCCUGAUUCAGUCUAAAUACCUGAAAUAAAGCUCGUUCAAGACACCAUGCUACUUAGUUAUAAUUAAAAUAAGCCUGGUCUGUGUACGUUUAAACCAACUGUGAAUAAUAAAUAAAUACACUCUGAUAAAAGGUAACAUUAUUAUUAAAACGAACUUUCGUUUAGUUUCUUCGUAAAAUUGUCAAGCUUUUGCAGAGCUUCUCAUGCCUAGUAUGGUUAAUCAGUGCUCGCAGCCAGUCUCCCUAACACUUCCACGCUUAAUUUUCAAUUAUCAUUAUUUCUAUGUAG